AUGGUAUCAGAGUGGCGUGAGCUGUUUCUCGUCGCCCUCGGACGCUACGGCCUCUCCAACCAUGUCGUCGGCGACGCCGCCGCCACUCCGUCCGCCACUUCGCCUACCUCCGAUUGGGGGCGAGACGACUUCACGGUGCUCUCCUGGAUAUACGGCUCGAUCUCCAUCGAGCUUUUUGGCAUCAUCAUGGCUCCCGGCUCCACGGCGCGGCAGGUCUGGGACUCCAUCGCCAACCUCUUCCAUGACAACAAGAAAAGCCACGCCCUAGCACUUGAUGCCGAGUUCCGCAACACACCUCAAGGAGACAUGUCCAUCCACGACUACUGCGCCAAGCUCAAGUCUCUUGCUGAUGCUCUCAGCGACGUCGGCCAGGACAUCACCGACGAGACUCUCGUCCUCACAGUGCUUCGCGGUCUCAACGAACAAUUCAGCCAUCUUCGGUCUUUUCUUCCGUUCCAAGUGCCGUUCCCUUCGUUCUUGCAGACGCGUUCCGCGCUCGUCCUCGAGGAAACGCAGAAGAAGACGGACGCCAAAAAUGCGGCCGCUACGGUGUUAUGGGCAAGCGGCAACAUCAUUCUCCCUCAGGCUGGCGGAGAGCGUGCUCCUACUCCUGGACGUGGUGCCGGCUACAGCGGCAACGACUCCCGCACUGCCCACUCCCACCCCAUCGUGUCCUACACCAACCCUGGCCGUGGUGGUGGAAGCAGCGGCCGCCGCGGGCGUGGCGGUGGCCGCGGACGCCGCCGCGACAACCCAUGGAUGUUCAAUCCAUGGACAGGCCUCCCGACUCGCGUAUGCUGCCUACAGCCCCCAGCACACCAACAACAACCCCAUGAUGCCGUCUCCAUCAGCUGGCUAUCCAGGAGGCCAACAACAGCCGCAGCUUGA
rnacentral:rRNA from 1 species